GGUGUGGGUUUGGUUGUAGCUUCAAACGAAGUUAGUGAUUCUUACCUGCACCAUCUUGGAGGUAGUUGUGUUGUGUCAUUCAGUUGAUGGAGCAUGUCUUCUCCUCGUUUACUGUGAGCAAAAUAGAGUGUUCAAAGCAGGCUUAUGCCGUUGAAUACAUUAGCAUGGAAUAAUAGAAUAGGACUUUGGUUCUAUUUUGUUGGUUUCUAGGACUAGAGUA
rnacentral:rRNA from 1 species